rnacentral:rRNA from 1 species
AAUGGGCGAGAGCCUGAACCAGCCAUGCCGCGUGCAGGAAGACGGCCCUAUGGGUUGUAAACUGCUUUUGUUUGGGAAUAAAAGGCCCUACGUGUAGGGCACUGAAGGUACCAGAUGAAUAAGCAUCGGCUAACUCCGUGCCAGCAGCCGCGGUAAUACGGAGGAUGCGAGCGUUAUCCGGAUUUAUUAGGUUUAAAGGGUGUGUAGGCGGAAGGCUAAGUCAGUGGUGAAAUCUCACAGCUCAACUGUGAAACUGCCAUAGAUACUGGUUUUCUUGAGUACAGUUGAAGUAGGCGGAAUGUGUAAUGUAGCGGUGAAAUGCUUAGAUAUUACACAGAACACCGAUUGCGAAGGCAGCUUGCUAAGCUGUUACUGACGCUGAUGCACGAAAGCGUGGGUAGCGAA